rnacentral:rRNA from 1 species
UACAGAGGCCUCGAGCGUUAGGCGGAAUCACUGGGCUUAAAGCGUGUGUAGGCGGACUUCUAAGUACCUUGUGAAAUCCCACGGCUUACCCGUGGAACGGCUGGGUAUACUGGGAGUCUUGAGCCACCUAGGGGCGAGUGGAACAAAUGGUGGAGCGGUGAAAUUCGUAGAUAUUGGGAAGAACACCGGUGGCGAAGGCGGCUCACUGGCUCAUUACUGACGCUCAGGCGCGAUAGCGUGGGGAUCAAACAGG